GCGAGAGAGAGGAGAGAGACGCUGGCUCUGUGUGGACGGGGGUCCAGGGGGGUGUUCAACUCUCAGGUGAUUCAGAUGUUAGCGUUGGAAGGGAAAAACACUCAGUUAUGGUUCCUACUUUGGGAUCCACAGCUCUACGAAGGGAGUGUAAUGUCCACCGGGGCAGAGCAGCUGCUGGUGGUCUCAUCAGGGCUAUUUAUAACCUGGAGGGCCGAUCGGAGUACCCCAAAACACAAGACUCCUUGGAGAGCCCCGACACGCCUGUCUGAACCUCAACCCUUGUUAGGACGCCUAACCCUCGUGAGGACCCAUAACCCUCGUGAGGACCCAUAACCCUCGUUAGGACCCAUAACCCUCGUUAGGACCCAUAACCCUCGUUAGGACCCAUAACCCUCGUUAGGACCCAUUACUCUUGGCAGGACACUGAACCAUCGUUAGGAAACACAACCCAGUUGGUCCUAGGACAGAUUGACACUGAAGAGGAAUUGCUAUUGAUUUGUACCCUGAUAUUCUGAUAUUCUUCUGGCUCAGUUGGAGAAGAUUGAUGUUCUAGAUAUUGUUUUGUAGUUUUGUGUUGUACGAGAGCUCACCAUUCCUCCAAACAAACCUCUUCCCCUCCAGCAUCCUUCAGACUGUAGCCUUCCAGGUUCUCCUCCCUUCCAGAUCUCCUCCACAGCGGAGCCACCGUCUGCAGGAACACAAGAAGACAAGAAGGUUGAGCCGGUGUAGGGAAGCAGCCCCUCAAUUCCAGGAGACGGAGGUGACCUACCUGGCAGUGGUGGAGGGGAAGAGCCCAUGGUUGAUGAGUCCUGGUUUGAAGAGUAGUAAUGCUGGAAUCUGAACCCUGGUGAUCUCACUGCUGAUAGGCGUGUUUAACCUACUGCUACGUUACCGUGAGGGACUACGGAGCCCUCGGUUCCAUCCCCUUCUGGGGUCUCGACCUUAAACUACAAAGCAACACAUAACCCAAACAGCAGGGCAGUGCCACCACUAAUGGAACCACGCUACUACAACCACUGUUUCUGACUGGCGCAAACUGCUGCGAAUGAGAUCAUCUGGUCCCGUUAUAGCCGAUCAGAAAAGGUUGCUGGUGCCAGCUCUUGGGAUGACGCGCAGUGAUUGGUUAAGACUUGGAGCAGAAGAUGUUCUUCACUGCAUGGUGACAACACAGGACUACCAAACAAGGGGACCGUAAAACAUUUGUUUUUAAUCUCAAGAAUAAAACCAAAUACAUUGAAGAGAUAUUAUUGUUCUACAGUUCUUCAAAUACAGGACAAUGUUGACCAACUUAAGAAGACAUGUAGUCAUGAAUUCAAAUCUUUACAUCAAGGAAUUCCAACUGCAUUUAGACAUUUCCUUGACAUCUUCUCUUUUAGAGAACUUUUCAAAAAACAAUCUGUAAACUUGACUUGAGAUCCAAAAAAACAGUUUGAAAGAAAAUUCUCAAAGUAUUACUUUCUUUAUUCAUUUAAAUUUCUCACUAAAUUUGCAAUAUCAUUCUCAGAAAAAUAAAUUGUUAUUCAAAAUUAAAUUUUAGGUUCAUAAAUAAUAACGUAUUUGAAGAAGUCUUCUGACUAAAAGGUUUUGUGGUUCUUUAGAUAAACGCAGUUUAGAAUACCGUCUGAUUCUCAUUUCAAACAACCAAUCACGUAGUUUUAACCAUCCAGCAACCAAUCAGCUUUCUCAAUUUUUAGCUGUCGAACAUCUUCUUCCUGUCAGACUUGUCUUCGAUGUUCUUACGCCAGUCGCCCACAUCCCUCAGCUGCUUGUCCUGCAGAGCAACAAACACAUGAGAACGAUGCGCACACACAUACACACAGACACGCAUACACACACGAGCAUGGUGCUCACACACAUGAGCAUUGUGUUAACACACACACAGACACACUCACUCACUGACAACCUGGUCGACACCAGAAGGUAUCUCUUUACCAGACCAGAAGGUAUCUCUUAACCUGGUCCAGACCAGAAGGUUUCCUUAACCUGGUCCAGACCAGAAGGUAUCUCUUAACCAGACCAGAAGGUAUCUCUUAACCAGACCAGAAGGUAUCUCAUAACCAGACCAGAAGGUAUCUCUUAACCAGAACAGAAGGUAUCUCUUAAACAGACCAGAAGUUAACGCUUAAUCUGGUCCAGACCAGAAGGUAUCUCUUAACCCGGACCAGAAGGUCUGAGCUGGAACGUCCUGACAAUAUGAGGAGACUCUCACCUCCUCCUUGACCUCCUUCUUGACCUGCUUGAGGUUGGACCGGAGGUCCAUGUUGACGGUGUGUUUGGAGCCCAGCAGGGCCUUCAGCAUGGCGUCAGCAGACAUGCGCACCUUCUUCAGUUUGGGCUUCUUGAACUUCCCUCUCAGAUCAACAAUCUUGAUGUUGAGAUCUCUGACCUUCGGCGCAAAAGAAUAGUUAGCAAACAUGGAAUGGGUUCAAUAUGUGUACUAGGUAUGUACUAAUGGUGUUCAACAGUGACAACUAGGUGAGUGCUAUGUAUGUUCACGUCAGUACUCGCUGAGAACUAGCAGAGUGCUGUGUGUGGUUUGUGCGAGGGUUCCCACCUCGUUCAGAACCAGGCCCAGUUUAAACUCGAUGCCGUACUUCUCUUCUUCCCCCAGGUUGAUUUCGUCGUGGAGCGACAGACAGAGUUCCUGUGGGCAAACAAGAUGAUAACUAUCGAUAGUUUUUACUGAGCCCAGUAAUGUGGGAUGUCUUCAUACCAACAACCCCGCAGCCGCAAAGCCAGCCUGGACCGGAACCACCUCAGGGACUGACCUGCUCUACCUACACCCAUCUGGGCAGAGCUGGACUCCUGGAACUACAAAAUGUACUGACCUACGUCUACCUACACCCAUCUGGGUAGAGCUGGACUCCUGGAACUACAAAAGAUACUGACCUACGUCUACCUACACCCAUCUGGGUAGAGCUGGACUCCUGGAACUACAAAAGGUACUGACCUACGUCUACCUACACCCAUCUGGGUAGAGCUGGACUCCUGGAACUACAAAAGGUACUGACCUACGUCUACCUACACCCAUCUGGGUAGAGCUGGACAUGCAUCCUACAGCCCAUGUGGGUCAGACUCCUAACCCCUAUCUGGGUGGAGUUCUGCCUCCGUGUGUGCAGAGAAAGUAUAAGAGGAAGAGGAAGGAGGAGAGGAAGCUCACCUGGUGUGGAUCUGAGCGUCAGGAGGUGUAGCGCGGCGGCGAGGCUGGAGGAGUGCCGGAGGAACCCCCUCAGCUACGUAUUUAUGACCUCCCUGCCCGCCCGGCAACUCCAUCACCUAGUGGCCCCGCCCAGAGCCUCCAACCACAUCCGACCCCCACCUUUAAAAAUAGCCUCUGCGUCCCCCUUGGCCGGCCUCCGCCCAGCCCGUCCAGGAGCUGGUCUAGGGGGACCCUUUAGAUGGUCCAACGGAUUAAGACCAGGGUUUGUGAUCUGCUGGUCCGUCUGUGGAGGGACACUAGAUCGCAAACUAGAUCAAAAACUAGUUCCCAAACCCUGAUGGUUUGCAUUAUCUUGUAGUUCUCUAUUCUCAGACGUGGAGAAGACGGGGGGGGUUAAUAAUAGUUACGGUGGGAGAAUAUCAUUAUUUCAAAGUGGUCCAAGGGGUCAGGGGGUCUGGUGAAAGACGGACCACAACAGCAGCCGCUAGGCGAGGGGGGGGGAGAGAGGAGGAGGUGGUGGUGGUGGUGAUGGAGGUGGUGGGGGUGUGUCUGGCCGAACGCAGACAUUAAAACUUCAAGUGACCUCCGCCUGCACCAUACUGUCGGAUCAAACCAAGGCCUGAUCUGUAAACCAUAGAUGGUUCAUGGUGCUGUUAUUGGCUGGAAUGAACACCCGGACGCUAGCUAUUUUAAUAGAGAUUCAACAUCUUGAUCACAAUACUAUGGAGGGGAUUAGGGAACCAUGUGAUUAUGUGACUUUUUAUUUUUUUGGAGUUCUGACUUAAAACUCAGAAUAAAAAGAGUGGAGUAUAAAUAAAGACUCUUUAUUUAUACUUAGAAUUUAUACUCAGCACUCAUGGGACAAAAAAUCCCAUAUGGCCCUUAUCCUCUUCUGUACAAUCCAGACCUCGUAGAUCAAAUGCAAUGUAAAGGUGAAUAAAUGAAAGCAAUU